UCUCCUGGAAACGGGUGGUAAUGCCGGAUGUUCCACAUGAUCGCAUGUGAUUGUGGGAAAGAUUUCAUCGGCGUGGGAUGGGGUCGCGUCCUAUCAGCUUGUUGGUGAGGUAACGGCUCACCAAGGCUUCGACGGGUAGCCGGCCUGAGAGGGCGACCGGCCACAUUGGGACUGAGAUACGGCCCAGACUCCUACGGGAGGCAGCAGUGGGGAAUAUUGCACAAUGGGCGCAAGCCUGAUGCAGCGACGCCGCGUGAGGGAUGGAGGCCUUCGGGUUGUAAACCUCUUUUGUUUGGGAGCAAGCCUUCGGGUGAGUGUACCUUUCGAAUAAGCGCCGGCUAACUACGUGCCAGCAGCCGCGGUAAUACGUAGGGCGCAAGCGUUAUCCGGAUUUAUUGGGCGUAAAGGGCUCGUAGGCGGCUCGUCGCGUCCGGUGUGAAAGUCCAUCGCUUAACGGUGGAUCUGCGCCGGGUACGGGCGGGCUGGAGUGCGGUAGGGGAGACUGGAAUUCCCGGUGUAACGGUGGAAUGUGUAGAUAUCGGGAAGAAC
rnacentral:rRNA from 1 species